AGCUCGAAGGCCCUUCUUCUACUUCAGUUACACUCAAGAAAGAGUCCAUUUAUUUUCUCGGAAAAAAAGGGAGAUCAUAGAAAAAAAUUCACACUCGUUUAAGUGUAUUAAGCACUUUUUCUUUUUUUUGGUUGAUGAAGUUUGUGUUCGGGUUUAUGAGGUGGAGAUCUGGUGGAAUGGUACUGUAGGCGUUGAUCCGUUGUUGCACUGGCCAAACAGUGGUUGCUCGUGUUUCAUUUGUUUGGAGAUAUUUAAUAAAGGUAAAACAUGGCACAGAGCAAUUGGGAAGCUGAUAAGAUGCUUGAUGUUUAUAUUCAUGAUUAUCUGUUGAAAAGAAAAUUGAUUGCUUCCGCAAACGCAUUUAUGACUGAAGGGAAGGUUGCUACAGAUCCAGUAGCAAUUGAUGCACCAGGAGGAUUCCUGUUUGAAUGGUGGUCUGUUUUCUGGGACAUAUUCAUUGCAAGGACAAAUGAGAAGCAUUCAGAGGCUGCUGCUGCUUACAUUGAGGUACAGCAGAUUAAGGCAAGGGAGCAACAACAGCUACAGAUGCAGCAGCUGCAGCUAUUGCAGCAGCGCAAUGCUCAGUUACAGCGUAGGGAUCCUAAUCAUCCUGCUCUGGGUGGUUCUAUAAAUGCUAUAAACUCUGAGGGAGUAAUGGGGCAACCCUCAGCCAGUGUGCUAGCCAUGAAAAUGUAUGAAGAGCGUAUGAAGCACCCUCACUCGAUGGAUUCGGAGACAUCCCCUACGCUUAUUGAUGCCAAUAGAAUGGCCCUACUCAAAUCAGCUGCAAAUCCACAAGGCCAGUUGGUACAAAGCAAUUCUGGGAACAUGCCAGCUGCUUUGCAGCAAAUCCAGGGUCGAACUCCUUUAACCACUGACAUCAAAAGCGAAGUUAACUUGGGUGCAACUCAGAAAAGUUUGCCUAUGGAUCCUUCAUCAAUUUAUGGACAAGCAAUUUUACAGUCGAAAUCUGGCUUGGGUGGUGCAGGACUGAGUCAAGGUAUUACGGGUCUUCCUUUGAAGGGUUGGCCUCUAACUGGAAUUGACCAAUUACGACAAAACUUGGGUGUACAAGUACAGAAGCCAAAUCUUCAUACCCAAAAUCAGUUCCUUUUGGCAUCUCAACAACAGCAAAUCUUGGCACAGGCUCAGGCACAAAGUAACCUUGGAAAUUCAACGAACUACGGAGAUAUGGAUCCUCGUAGAUUUUUGCCCAGGGGUAGUUUGAAUGCAAAAGAUGGUCAAGCUACUAGGAAUGAUGGAUCUAUCUGCUCUCCAGUGCUAUCAAGUUCACCAAAGAUAAAAAUGGCCCAGAUGCAACACUCUUCCUCCCAACAGCAUGAACAAUUGCAACAGCAGCAACUGCAACAGAAUAACAGAAAAAGGAAACAACACUCUUCUUCUGGACUUGCCAACAGCACCGGCACAGGAAACACUGUUGGCCCUUCACCUAGUUCUCCCGCAUCAACUCACACACCUGGUGAUGGAAUUAACACAGCCAGUAGUCUGCAGCAUGUUAACAGCAUACCAAAAAGCUUGAUGAUGUAUGGUCCAGAAGGAACAGGAGGCCUUCCUUCGUCUUCCAAUUUACUGGAUGACAUAGAACGAUUUGGAGAUGUUGGUUCUUUAGAAGAUAAUGUGGAAUCAUUUUUGUCACAUGAUGGGGAAAACAUGAGGGAUCUAUAUGGAACACUAAAGCAGAGUCCUGCAGGGCACCAUAAAGAGUGUUCUAAAGGUUUUACAUUUGGUGAAGUUGGUUGCAUACGGACCAGAAACAGCAAAGUUACUUGCUGUCACUUUUCUUCAGACGGGAAGCUGCUGGCUAGCGCUGGACAUGACAAAAAGGUGACACUCUGGAACAUGGAUACCCUGCAGACAGAGAGUACUCCCGAAGAGCACAAGUUAGUCAUAACAGAUGUUCGUUUUAGACCAAAUUCAUCCCAGCUGGCAACAGCUUCAGUUGACAAAUCUGUGCGAUUAUGGGAUGCAGCCAAUCCAAACUAUUGUUUACAAGCAUAUACAGGGCACAACUCACCUAUCAUGUCCCUUGACUUCCACCCUAAGAAGACGGACUUAUUUUGUUUCUGUGAUCAUGACAAUGAAAUUCGCUACUGGAAUAUCAACCCAUUCUCCUGUACUCAUAAUUCCAAGUUGUCUCUAUUGUUUUGGAUAGGGAGGUACUGCACAAGUGAGAUUUCAACCAAGAACUGGACAACUGCUGGCAGCAGCAUCAGAUAAAAUGGUUUCCAUCUUUGAUGUCGAAACUGACAGGCAAACACACUCAUUACAGGGACACUCUGAAAUGGUAAACUACAUUUGUUGGGAUGCAAAUGGAGACUAUCUGGCAUCUGUCAGUCAGAACUUGGUGAAGAUUUGGUCGUUAGCUUCAAGUGAGUGUAUUCAGGAGCUUGGCUCUGACGGCAACCAGUUUCAUUCUUGUGUUUUUCACCCAAGUUAUUUAACUCUCUUGGCCAUUGGAGGAAUCUCGUCUUUGGAGCUGUGGAACAUGACUGAGAACAAGAGAAUGACAAUUUCGGCACACGAGAAUAUAAUCUCAGCUCUUGCGCAGUCACCCGACACUGGAAUGGUUGCAUCUGCAAGUUACGACAGCUCCGUCAAGCUAUGGAAGUAAAUUUAAGUACCAUGGUGGUAACAUCUUAUAACCUCGAUUCAGAAAUCCGGAAGGGGGAAACUCAGUGGCAGAUGUUUCGAGUUCAUAUAUAUGCAGGUGUUUUCAAGUAUGGUAAAUAGUUUUGUAGACAGGGUUUCUCAAAGUAUUAAUAUCAUAUAGUAAUUAUAUCUAAGAUCCUAGUAGAAAAACUCUUUUUUCUUUGUUCCCGUCGGGUUAGGUCUUUUGUCUAAUGUAAUUUCUUAAGUUUAGUUUCUAUGGUUAAAUGAUUUGUGUGCCUGUUUUUAUGGGUAUUUUAUCUUUAUUAGGAAAAAUCUUGCAAUAUCAUUGUAAUUGUCAAACAAUUAACUUAAUAACAAAAAGUGUCAUAAAUCUCUCACUGAA